rnacentral:rRNA from 1 species
AUUGAACGCUGGCGGCAUGCUUUACACAUGCAAGUCGAACGGCAGCGCGGGCUUCGGCCUGGCGGCGAGUGGCGAACGGGUGAGUAAUACAUCGGAACGUGCCCAGUAGUGGGGGAUAGCUCGGCGAAAGCCGGAUUAAUAACGCAUACGACCUGUGGGGGAAAGCGGGGGAUCUUCGGACCUCGCGCUAUUGGAGCGGCCGAUGGCAGAUUAGCUAGUUGGUGGGGUAAAGGCCUACCAAGGCGACGAUCUGUAGCUGGUCUGAGAGGACGACCAGCCACACUGGGACUGAGACACGGCCCGGACUGCUACGGGAGGCAGAAGUGGGGAAUUUUGGACAAUGGGCGAAAUCCUGAUCCAGCAAUGCCGCGUGUGUGAUGAAGGCCUUCGGGUUGUAAAGCACUUUUGGCGGGAACGAAAAGGACUGUGCCAAUACCACGGUUCGAUGACGGUACCCGCAGAAUAAGCACCGGCUAACUACGUG